AUUGAACGCUGGCGGCAGGCUUAACACAUGCAAGUCGAGCGGAGAGAGGUAGCUUGCUACUGAUCUUAGCGGCGGACGGGUGAGUAAUGCUUAGGAAUCUGCCUAUUAGUGGGGGACAACAUUUCGAAAGGAAUGCUAAUACCGCAUACGUCCUACGGGAGAAAGCAGGGGAUCUUCGGACCUUGCGCUAAUAGAUGAGCCUAAGUCGGAUUAGCUAGUUGGUGGGGUAAAGGCCUACCAAGGCGACGAUCUGUAGCGGGUCUGAGAGGAUGAUCCGCCACACUGGGACUGAGACACGGCCCAGGCUCCUACGGGAGGCAGCAGUGGGGAAUAUUGGACGAUGGGCGGAAGCCUGAUCCAGCCAUGCCGCGUGUGUGAAGAAGGCCUUAUGGUUGUAAAGCACUUUAAGCGAGGAGGAGGCUACUUUAGUUAAUACCUAGAGAUAGUGGACGUUACUCGCAGAAUAAGCACCGGCUAACUCUGUGCCAGCCGCCGCGGUAAUAC
rnacentral:rRNA from 1 species